rnacentral:rRNA from 1 species
CCCUUAGAUGUCCUGGGCCGCACGCGCGCUACACUGAGUGUCUGAGAAACGAGUCUGCCUGGUCCGGCAAGGUCUAGGUAAUCGCUAAAAGACACAUCAUGCUUGGGAUAGAUUAUUGCAAAUAUUAAUCUUGAACGAGGAAUUCCUAGUAAGCGCAAGUCAACAGCUUGCGUUGAUUACGUCCCUGCCCUUUGUACACACCGCCCGUCGCUACUACUGAUUGGAUGUUUAAGCGAGGUUCUCGAACUGCUAGCGACUUAGCUUCGGUGAGGUCGCAGUGUGGGAAGUGAACCUAGCUUUGGUGUCUAGAGGAAGUAAAAGUCGUAACA